UACGUAGGGGGCAAGCGUUGUCCGGAUUUAUUGGGCGUAAAGAGCGUGUAGGCGGCUGGGUAGGUCCGUUGUGAAAACUCGAGGCUCAACCUCGAGACGCCGAUGGAAACCCUCAGCUAGAGUCCGGAAGAGGAGAGUGGAAUUCCUGGUGUAGCGGUGAAAUGCGCAGAUAUCAGGAGGAACACCAAUUGCGAAGGCAGCUCGCUGGGACGUUACUGACGCUGAGACGCGAAAGCGUGGGGAGCAAACAGG
rnacentral:rRNA from 1 species